AGGUUGCUAAUUUAUGUAUUUAAUAAUGAGGCAGGAAAAUAACUUUUUUAACAUUAACUUUUGCUUCUCAUGAUGAUUGUUGCUCCAGGCCAACUUUGUCGCAGCUUCGUGCAUAACGCUGGGAGGCUUCUGUCAGCAGGACCACAAUAGUCCUUGCUGAUGUGCCAGGCUGACCUUGGAACACGAGGUCUGUCCGUGAUCCUCCACCUCAUAUGGAUUUGCUCAGUUCCUCUUGCAGAGUGGGACAGGAACAUCUGAGCUCACGGCAAUUGAUCCUCUCCCAGUGCCACCACCCUGGCUGCUGCUGCCUCCAUCCCGGUCUGAUCUCAAAGCUGUGGCUUUGGUUUUUGCUUGCCAAGCAAGGCACGGGCAGCUGUGCUGUGCGGGUCUGGUGGCUUGGUGCCCUGCUCACCCAGUGUGGAUCUGGCACCAGGACCCGCUCCCAUCCUGCCUCCCUUACGCCAUGCUCAGCCAGUGCUCGGCUGCCGGCGGGAGCCGUGUGCUGCGACCCCUCGAGCGAAGGCACGGUCACCAGCUGUUCAUCCCGCCCGCAGCCGCCCCCCACUGCGGCACCGCCGCCGGGACGCCCUCCCCAGGCGGGCACCGGCCCCUCGUGCUGCUCGGCUCGGCUCCUGCCCGGCGCGGCUCCGGCCGAGCUCCGGCUCGGCUCGGCUCGGCUCGGCUGAACUCGGCUCGGCUCGGCUCCUGAGGCAAGGACAGUCGGCGGGCGCGGCGAGGCCGGUGGCCGUGGCGGGGCCUGUCCCCUUCAGCGGGGCCGGGCGCUGCUCGGGGGCCUCGUAGGCCGGCAGCGGGGCUGAGGCGGCGGCGGCGGCAUCUCCCCUCUCGGCAGCCGAGGCGCUGGGCCGGCGUCCGCGGCGGGUCCCGGCCUCCUCCCAGCACCCGGGCGGCCCCUCUCCUCCCCCGCAGCCUGGCGUCGGUCACGGGCCGCGGCACGGUCCUGCCUGGGGCAGCCCCGGGAGCGAGAGGCCGGUGAAGCUCCAGGGCCGCCGGUCAGAGCAGCGCGGCUGGAGGCAGCGCAGCGUCAGCUCGAGCCCGCCCGCUGCUCGUGCUGCAGGCACCGGGCUCCAUCGAACCGCGCGGACCGGCGAUGUUCUGGCUGGCGGGAGGUGCCGCAGGAGGGGUUCUCUCUGCACGUUUCCUCUAGAGCGAAAGCUGCUGCCAUCUUCUGCCGUGUGAC
rnacentral:lncRNA from 1 species